CUGUGCACCACUUAUUGCGGACCUGUUUUGUAUUGCUAUGAGUUACAAUUUAUGACAAAAAUAAGCAAAGACCCAUCGAAACAACAUCUGAUAAACAAAUUUAAUAAUACUUUUAGAUAUUUGGAUGAUAUUUUGGCUCUCAAUAAUGACGACUUCAGUAUGUAUAUUAAAGAAAUUUAUCCUGUUGAACUUACUUUAAAUAAAGCUAAUACUAACAAUGACCAC
rnacentral:lncRNA from 1 species